rnacentral:rRNA from 1 species
UGGGGAAUAUUGCACAAUGGGGGAAACCCUGAUGCAGCGACGCCGCGUGAGCGAAGAAGGCCUUCGGGUCGUAAAGCUCUUUUAUAUGGGAAGAUAAUGACGGUACCAUAAGAAAAAGCCCCGGCUAAGUACGUGCCAGCAGCCGCGGUAAUACGUAGGGGGCUAGCGUUGUCCGGAAUCACUGGGCGUAAAGGGUUCGCAGGCGGCAAUGCAAGUCAGAUGUAAAAGGCAAAGGCUCAACCUUUGUAAGCAUCUGAAACUGUAUAGCUUGAGAAGUGUAGAGGCAAGUGGAAUUUUUAGUGUAGCGGUGAAAUGCGUAGAUAUUAAAAAGAAUACCGGUGGCGAAGGCGACUUGCUGGGCACAAUCUGACGCUGAGGAACGAAAGCGUGGGGAGCAAACAGG